rnacentral:rRNA from 1 species
GGUGAACGCUGGCGGCGUGCUUAAGACAUGCAAGUCGAACGCAGUCUUCGGACUGAGUGGCGCACGGGUGAGUAACACGUAACUGACCUACCCCCAAGUCGCGAAUAACCAGCCGAAAGGAUGGCUAAUACGUGAUGUGAUGAUCCGCUGUGGCGGAUCAUUAAAGACUUGAUCGCUUGGGGAUGGGGUUGCGUUCCAUCAGCUAGUUGGUAAGGUAAAGGCUUACCAAGGCAACGACGGAUAGCCGGCCUGAGAGGGUGGCCGGCCACAGGGGCACUGAGACACGGGUCCCACUCCUACGGGAGGCAGCAGUUAGGAAUCUUCCACAAUGGGCGCAAGCCUGAUGGAGCGACUCCGCGUGAGGGAUGAAGGUUCUCGGAUCGUAAACCUCUGAACCAACGACGAAAGACCCGACAAGGGAGGUGACGGUAGUUGGGUAAUAGCACCGGCUAACUCCGUGCCAGCCGCCGCGGUAAGAC